rnacentral:rRNA from 1 species
AUUGAACGCACGCGGCAGGCCUAACACAUGCAAGUUGAGCGAGAAGCGGACGGGUGAGUAAUGUGUGGGAAAGUGCCUGAUGGAGGGGGAUACAUAAAGGUAACGGUAGCUAAUACCGCAUAACAUCAGAUGUGAACAUAAGGGCUGAGCUAGUAGGUGGGGUAAAGGCUCACCUAGGCGACGACCACUAGCUGGUCUGCGAGGAUGACCAGCAACUCUGUAACUGAGACACGGUCCAGACUCCUAAGGGAGGCAGAAGUGGGGAAUAUUGCACAAUGGGCGCAAGCCUGAUGCAGCCAUGCCGCGGGUAUGAAGAAGGCCUUCGGGUUGUAAAGUACUUUCAGCGGGGAGGCGUUACCCGCAGAAGAAGCACCGGCUAACUCCGUGCCAGCGGCCGCGGUAAUAC